rnacentral:rRNA from 1 species
AUUGAACGCUGGCGGCAUGCCUUACACAUGCAAGUCGAACGGUAAUAGGUCUUCGGAUGCUGACGAGUGGCGAACGGGUGAGUAAUACAUCGGAACGUGCCCGAUCGUGGGGGAUAACGGAGCGAAAGCUUUGCUGAUACCGCAUACGAUCUACGGAUGAAAGCAGGGGACCGCAAGGCCUUGCGCGGACGGAGCGGCCGAUGGCAGAUUAGGUAGUUGGUGGGCUAAAAGCUUACCAAGCCGACGAUCUGUAGCUGGUCUGAGAGGACGACCAGCCAGACUGAGACUGAGACACGGCCCAGAAUCCUACGGGAGGCAGUAGUGGGGAAUGUUGGACAAUGGGCGAAAGCCUGAUCCAGCCAUGCCGCGUGCAGGAUGAAGGCGUUCGGGUUGUAAACUGCUUUUGUACGGAACGAAAAGCCUCUCUCUAAUAAAGAGAGGUCAUGACGGUACCGUAAGAAUAAGCACCGGCUAACUACGUGCCAGCCGCCGCAGUAACAC